GAGUUUGAUCUUGGCUCAGGAUGAACGCUAGCGGCAGGCCUAACACAUGCAAGUCGAGGGGCAGCAUUUUUAUAGCAAUAUAAAAGAUGGCGACCGGCGCACGGGUGCGUAACGCGUAUGUAACCUACCUUAAACAGGGGGAUAACACCGAGAAAUUGGUACUAAUACCCCAUAAUACUAUUGGAGGCAUCUCCGAUGGUUGAAAGUUCCGGCGGUUUAAGAUGGACAUGCGUUGUAUUAGUUAGUUGGUGAGGUAACGGCUCACCAAGACGACGAUACAUAGGGGGACUGAGAGGUUAACCCCCCACAUUGGUACUGAGACACGGACCAAACUCCUACGGGAGGCAGCA
rnacentral:rRNA from 1 species